rnacentral:rRNA from 1 species
AUUGAACGCUGGCGGCAGGCCUAACACAUGCAAGUCGAGCGGAUGAAGGGAGCUUGCUCCUGGAUUCAGCGGCGGACGGGUGAGUAAUGCCUAGGAAUCUGCCUGGUAGUGGGGGAUAACGUCCGGAAACGGGCGCUAAUACCGCAUACGUCCUGAGGGAGAAAGUGGGGGAUCUUCGGACCUCACGCUAUCAGAUGAGCCUAGGUCGGAUUAGCUGGUUGGUGGGGUAAAGGCCUACCAAGGCGACGAUCCGUAACUGGUCUGAGAGGAUGAUCAGUCACACUGGAACUGAGACACGGCCCAGACUCCUACGGGAGGCAGCAGUGGGGAAUAUUGGACAAUGGGCGAAAGCCUGAUCCAGCCAUGCCGCGUGUGUGAAGAAGGUCUUCGGAUUGUAAAGCACUUUAAGUUGGGAGGAAGGGCAGUAAGUUAAUACCUUGCUGUUUUGACGUUACCAACAGAAUAAGCACCGGCUAACUUCGUG